GGUCUGUGCGAAAACGAAUGCCGAACAACCACGUGACCGCGCGUCAACCGGUCAGCGUCGGAGCAAGUAUGUUUCAGGCCUGCCUGAAAGGGAGGGGGGUAAAAAGUUCUGCUGGYGGGUGGUGCCAAAAGGGGCGGCCRAGCCGACACUGCAAACAYCGGUGACGUAAUUUUCGUCAUGAAACUGCAACAACCCGUGCCGACGUCGGCAGUUCGGAGGGAGUAUGAAGAAAGCUUUAGUCUAUAGCAGCAAAAACGAAGAAUAAUUCAGGAAACCUAAGUCUAAUUAUAUGAUUUAUCAAAAAGGAAAGUCUUCAGUCUAAUCUUAAAAGUAGACAGAGUGUCAGCCUCACAAACAAAAACUGGAAGUURGUUCCACAAGAGAUGAGAUUGAUAACUGAAAUGAACAGCUAUGGUUUUAUGCAUUUGUAAAUUCACUUAAAACUUGAGAGUUAGUUAUAAAACAAAUGUUUUUAUGCUUAUCUUAGUGGGUUGCUGCUGGAGAAACGGGUGGAUCCAUUGUCCGUCGUCCCCGCGUGCCCCCUCCUCUUGUCAACACAGGGUCCACGGCAGGUGGGGCKGAGGACCGGGCCCRGACAUCCGCCCCAAAACAGGCCGUACCCAAAGGAGGUGACACUGCAGGGCCGAAAGAGGAAGACGCCAAUCCGCGCCAUUUAAUAGCCCCGGAWAAACAGAGAGACUAAAACAUGUUAUUUAAAAAURUUUCAAAACAACCUUUUAUGAUUUUUCUUGAUUUAAGCUAUGAUUCAUGUUCCAGUAAGCGAUCACGGAGGURGCUGAGCUGUCUAAGACUGAAACUGCCACUGUCCAGGAAAGCAAAUUUAUCACACCAUACCCGCAGACACUACACGGCUUCAUCAUCAUAUUUAUUUACCAUCGCCUGGACGCAAGGCCCGUCGGUCGCAUUCAUUAGCUGAACAACAGAAUCGCCCUAGACCCAUUGUUACAUCAACUCAUGCUCAGUGMACUACCGUAUGCAAUUUUCUUACAAUGAAAAUUGGGUGGCCACCUUUUAAACUGACUUUUAGCCUACUUUGUUUCCCUCAACAGAAACAGAAACGGAAAAUUAUAUCUUCCCUCAGCAGUUUAUUCCUGUCUAAACUGCCUACACUCACCAAGAUAAACAAUGUCCUCUUGGCUACCUCAAAACAGAAAGCUAAACUCCCYGUUUUUAACUCGAUUAGGAAUAAAAACGCUCCCUAACCUACCUCAGCUAAAGUCACCACCAACCGCAGAAGCGACCAGACGGGCGUCUAACAAUUAGAUUUUUACUGUGGUGGGCUGAAAUAGCCGUAGCUUUUUUUUUUCACAAAGGUGCUAAUGAAAAUAUUAUCUCACCAUGUUUCUGUCAAAAGACAGGUUCUUUCAGCUCCAGUCCCAAAGGUCACCCACAGCGGCCGAAGCGAGGACAAAUCGAUCAGCGGAGGAAAACCUUCCUUAAAAACGGGUCAGCUUCUCAGAAACUGAAAAAAACCAGGAAGCUUCUUCCUCCUUGUCCAAACGUCGGCCCCAGCGGGCAAACUCCGGUCCUUGGAGCUCCGAUAACGACAACGCCAAUUUGUGGUGGCAGGAUUUACCAAGAGAUACAGAACAGGACAUGUCAAGCCCUUCACGGAUACCUCCACUCAUCUGCUCUCAUGACAACGACCCUGGUUCUKUUUAUUGGAUUACUGCCUCUCGUCUYAACCUUGUUCGGCAACACGACUCAUCUGACUUCCUGGUUCUCGACCCUCGCCCGCGCACUGGAUUCCCGAAGAACGCCAAACCCCUUCAACCUGGUAAAAUCUUUGUUUAGUCUGUGCAUGGCCCUCACCUGUUUGACAAAUCCAUAUCUGACAAACAGACCAUCAAAACCUAUCGAGUCUAUCGGAGAUGUCAUGGCCUCCCGGACCCAAACGCUCUGACGGUGUUUCUUCAUGGAGGUUUCCUGUGAACACUAGAUUGCCUGACUCGAGAUUCGAUUUGGUCCCARCUCCACACCAGCAAUUUAAAUAAACAUUGUAAACCUUU